CAGUAACGGCGAGUGAAGCGGCAACAGCUCAAAUUUGAAAUCUGGCUCCUUCGGGGUCCGAAUUGUAAUUUGUAGAGAGUGCUUCGGGCGAGACCUCGGUCUAAGUCCAUUGGAACAUGGUGUCAUAGAGGGUGAGAAUCCCGUAUGCGACCGUGGCUCGAGCCCAUGUGAAGCCUCUUCGACGAGUCGAGUUGUUUGGGAAUGCAGCUCAAAACGGGUGGUAAAUUUCAUCUAAAGCUAAAUACUGGCUGGAGACCGAUAGCGCACAAGUAGAGUGAUCGAAAGAUGAAAAGCACUUUGGAAAGAGAGUCAAACAGUACGUGAAAUUGUUGAAAGGGAAGCGCUUGCAACCAGACCUGCCCGUAGGCGAUCAGCCGCUGUUCUCAGCGGUGCACUCGCUCUGCGAUCAGGCCAGCAUCGGUUUCGGCGGUCGGAUAAAGGCCUUGGGAAUGUAGCUUCCCUUCGGGGAAGUCUUAUAGCCCUCGGUGCAAUGCGGCCAGCCGGGACCGAGGACCGCGCUUCGGCUAGGAUGCUGGCGUAAUGGUUGUAAGCGACCCGUCUUGAAACACGGACCAAGGAGUCUAACGUCUAUGCGAGUGUUUGGGUGUCAAACCCAUACGCGGAAUGAAAGUGAACGGAGGUGAGAACCCUUAAGGGCGCAUCAUCGACCGAUCCAGAUGUCUUCGGAUGGAUUUGAGUAUGAGCAUAGCUGUUGGGACCCGAAAGAUGGUGAACUAUGCCUGAAUAGGGUGAAGCCAGAGGAAACUCUGGUGGAGGCUCGCAGCGGUUCUGACGUGCAAAUCGAUCGUCAAAUUUGGGUAUAGGGGCGAAAGACUAAUC
rnacentral:rRNA from 1 species